AACGAACGCUGGCGGCAGGCCUAACACAUGCAAGUCGAGCGAGAUCUUCGGAUCUAGCGGCGGACGGGUGAGUAACGCGUGGGAAUAUGCCCUUUGGUGCGGAAUAGCCUCGGGAAACUGGGAGUAAUACCGCAUGUGCCCUUCGGGGGAAAGAUUUAUCGCCAAAGGAUUAGCCCGCGUUGGAUUAGGUAGUUGGUGGGGUAAUGGCCUACCAAGCCUACGAUCCAUAGCUGGUUUGAAAGGAUGAUCAGCCACACUGGGACUGAGACACGGCCCAGACUCCUACGGGAGGCAGCAGUGGGGAAUCUUAGACAAUGGGGGAAACCCUAUUCUAGCCAGGCCGCGUGAGAGAUGAAGGCCUUAGGGUUGUAAAGCUCUUUCAGCUGGGAAGAUAAUGACGGUACCAGCAGAAGAAGCCCCGGCUACCUCCGUGCCAGCCGCCGCGGUAA
rnacentral:rRNA from 1 species